rnacentral:tRNA from 1 species
GGCCGAGUACCCAAGUGGCCCAAGGGGACGGAUUGCAAAUCCGUUAUUCGUGGGUUCGAAUCCCACCUCGGCCUC